rfam:Ilyobacter polytropus DSM 2926, complete genome.
CUUGGUGAGAAUAGCUGUAGGGGUACACCUGGUCACAUUCCGAACCCAGAAGUUAAGCCUGCAUACGCUGAAAGUACUUGAGGGGCAGCCCUCUGGGAGGAUAGGUACUUGCCAAGC